rnacentral:rRNA from 1 species
UACGGGAGGCAGCAGUGGGGAAUAUUGCACAAUGGGCGAAAGCCUGAUGCAGCUAUGCCGCGUGUAUGAAGAAGGCCUUAGGGUUGUAAAGUACUUUCAUCGGGGAGGAAAAAACAAAACUAAUAAUUUUAUUUCUUGACGUUACCCGAAAAAGAAGCACCGGCUAACUCCGUGCCAGCAGCCGCGGUAAUACGGAGGGUGCUAGCGUUAAUCAGAAUUACUGGGCGUAAAGAGCACGUAGGUGGUUUUUUUAAAGUCAGAUGUGAAAUCCCUGGGCUUAACCUAGGAACUGCAUUUUGAAACUGAAAUACUAGAGUAUCGUAGAGGGAGGUAGAAUUCUAGGUGUAGCGGUGAAAUGCGUAGAUAUCGUGGAGGAAUACCUGUGGCGAAAGCGGCCUACCUAAACGAAUACUGACACUGAGGUGACGAAAGCGUGGGGAGCAAACAGGAUUAGACUACC